GGCAUCGCAGCGGGAGAGCCUGGCGCCUAAAACGCCAGCGCCGAAGGAGCAACCACCCCGGAAACUCUCAGGCACCCAGGACCGCUGCGAUAGG
rnacentral:ncRNA from 2 species